CAGUGACGGAGCCAGAAAUUUUGCAAAGUGGGGGCACCAUAGAUACAAAUUUAUAGCACUAAAUGUAUAAAUUAUUUCAUUUUUGAGAGAAUAUAUAUGAAAGGCUUAAUUACAUAUAUAUUUGAUCAUUUAGGUUUGUUUUAGGUUUUAAUUUGGUCCCUUAAGUUUAAAAAGUUUCAAGUUAGUCAUUUUAGUCAAAUUUUGGUUUAAAUCGUCCAUUUAGCUAACAAAUUUGUAUACGUGGACAACUUAGGAGGGUGUCACGUGGAAGUUUUAGACGAAAUUAACUCAAAAUUUAAUAAAAAGAACCAACUUAAGUUGAAAUAAGUAAUGCAUGGGAUUAAAUUGAAACUUUUAAAACAUAAAGUACCAAUUUAAAAUCUAAAAUAAAGAUAUAAGAUACCAAAUAUGCAAUUAAGCCUACAUUGAAAUAUAUACUUAACCUUAAACCAUGAGUGAAAGAGACAGUGGAGCGUGUUUGAUUUCUGUUGUAGUGAGAAAGAAUGAGUGAGGGGUGUGGUUUGUGU
rnacentral:lncRNA from 1 species